AGCUCCAAUAGCGUAUAUUAAAGUUGUUGCAGUUAAAAAGCUCGUAGUUGAAGUUCUGAUUGUUCAGGUCUUCAGUCAUUAGACGGGGAUUCUGACAGUCAUCCGCUUGCAAACAUAUGUUCGAUUUUAACCGAUCGGCUAUGUGAGUAAGCAUUUUACCUUGAGAAAAACAGAGUGUUCCAGGCAGGUUUGUCCGGAAUGCAUUAGCAUGGAAUAAUAGAACAUGACUGGAGUCUAUUUAUUGGUUUAAGGCUUUAGUAAUGAUUAAUAGGAACAGUCGGGGGCAUUCGUACUCAGCAGUCAGAGGUGAAAUUCUAAGAUUUGCUGAAGACGAACUAAUGCGAAAGCAUUUGCCAAGGAUGUUUUCA
rnacentral:rRNA from 2 species